AGCAUUGUCGGUAAGCAGCCCUGAAAAGGCUGGUGUCGGCGGUUCGAUUCCGUCUCUGGCCACCA
rnacentral:tRNA from 1 species